GACGGAGGAUGCAAGUGUUAUCCGGAAUCACUGGGCGUAAAGCGUCUGUAGGUGGUCAAAUAAGUCAACUGUUAAACCUUGAGGCUCAACCUCAAAAUCGCAGUCGAAACUAUUAGACUAGAGUAUAGUAGGGGUAAAGGGAAUUUCCAGUGGAGCGGUGAAAUGCGUAGAGAUUGGAAAGAACACCGAUGGCGAAGGCACUUUACUGGGCUAUUACUAACACUCAGAGACGAAAGCUAGGGUAGCAAAUGGG
rnacentral:rRNA from 1 species